ACUGUGGGUUGUUCCGUUGACAAUUUGAGCCGACAUUUUGUUUUUUUCAAAAAUCCAAAAGUGUUUGUCACUGAUUGGCUGGCUGCCGAGACGCCUCUCUUUCGAGAAUCCUGAUUGGUCAAGGCACCAGAGGCGAUAAAACGGUUGUUUGGCUAGCUAGCUCAAACGCGAGUAACCACUUGGUGUCGCUGGAAAACCCGAACUCUGAUGAGGACACUGUUGCUCCAGAAUCCGACUUCAGAACCUUCCUCCGUCCAUGUUGGGAUCAACAGGUAGAGCAACCCGGCAACCUGAAGCCAGUCAGCAAUCACAGAAAGUAAUCCUCGCUCUGCUCUGAGUUGUUGGGGCAUCUGGAUGAAGCAACUUGUUUACAAACCACAAAUUAGCUGGAGGUUUCAGCUACUCUGGAUUCCUGUUACCCCCAUCCUGGAGGAACUGGGGACCAGUUGGACAGACUAGGAAUGAGACGGACGGACGGGGCGGGGGGACAAGAGAGGCAGGGGGCUGCAUGUCAGUCCGCUCUCCUCAGUCACGGCCAGUUAGUUAAAGCAAACGCAGCCUGGACCCAGGAGACGACGCGGGGCGGUGGAGAGUGCCAAUCACGGCCGAGCUCAGAGCAUUCGCCACUGCGGCUCGCCUUGAGCAACUUUUUAUUAAUUUAAUAAACAUCCCGCAGAGACGGAGCGAUGUGGACUUGUGUACCCUCGCAGACAACGGCGCUGUUCGCCGGGGCCUAAUGAGAUGUGCAACUCAAACACGCGCUGAAACUGAACGUAUAAUGACGCGUCUUUGAAAACAGCCGUUGGUGCAUCCCUGGGGCACAAUCGCCCAAUAAAUGUGCAGAGAAAGAAA